AUUGAACGCUGGCGGCAUGCCUUACACAUGCAAGUCGAACGGCAGCACGGGUGCUUGCACCUGGUGGCGAGUGGCGAACGGGUGAGUAAUACAUCGGAACAUGUCCUGUAGUGGGGGAUAGCCCGGCGAAAGCCGGAUUAAUACCGCAUACAAUCUACGGAUGAAAGCGGGGGACCUUCGGGCCUCGCGCUAUAGGGUUGGCCGAUGGCUGAUUAGCUAGUUGGUGGGGUAAAGGCCUACCAAGGCGACGAUCAGUAGCUGGUCUGAGAGGACGACCAGCCACACUGGGACUGAGACACGGCCCAGACUCCUACGGGAGGCAGCAGUGGGGAAUUUUGGACAAUGGGCGAAAGCCUGAUCCAGCAAUGCCGCGUGUGUGAAGAAGGCCUUCGGGUUGUAAAGCACUUUUGUCCGGAAAGAAAUCCUUGGCCCUAAUACGGUCGGGGGAUGACGGUACCGGAAGAAUAAGCACCGGCUAACUACGUG
rnacentral:rRNA from 1 species